UACGAAGGGGCUAGCGUUGCUCGGAAUUACUGGGCGUAAAGCGCACGUAGGCGGCUUUCUAAGUCGGGGGUGAAAUCCUGGAGCUCAACUCCAGAACUGCCUUCGAUACUGGAAAGCUCGAGUCCGGGAGAGGUGAGUGGAACUGCGAGUGUAGAGGUGAAAUUCGUAGAUAUUCGCAAGAACACCAGUGGCGAAGGCGGCUCACUGGCCCGGUACUGACGCUGAGGCACGAAAGCGUGGGGAGCAAACAGG
rnacentral:rRNA from 1 species